AGAGCGAACGCUGGCGGCAGGCCUAACACAUGCAAGUCGAGCGGCCGUAGCAAUACGGCAGCGGCAGACGGGAGAGUAACACGUGGGAACGCGCCCUUCGGUUCGGAAUAACUCAGGGAAACUUGGGCUAAUACCGGAUACGCCCUUACGGGGAAAGAUUUAUUGCCGAAGGAACGGCCCGCGUCCGAUUAGCUUGUUGGUGAGGUAACGGCUCACCAAGGCGACGAUCGGUAGCUGGUCUGAGAGGAUGACCAGCCUCACUGGGACUGAGACACGGCCCAGACUCCUACGGGAGGCAGCAGUGGGGAAUAUUGGACAAUGGGCGCAAGCCUGAUCCAGCCAUGCCGCGUGGGUGAUGAAGGCCCUAGGGUUGUAAAGCCCUUUCGGCGGGAAGAUAAUGACGGUACCCGCAGAGAAGCCCGGCUAACUUCGUGCCAGCAGCCGC
rnacentral:rRNA from 1 species